rnacentral:rRNA from 1 species
CUUGGUGACUGUGGCGAAACGCCUAAACCCGAUCCCAUCCCGAACUCGGAAGUUAAACGUUUCAGCGCCGAUGGUACUGCAUCUUAAGGUGUGGGAGAGUAGGUCGUUGCCAGGU